UUAAGUUCAGCGGGUAUUCCUACCUGAUCCGAGGUCAACCUUGGUGCCGCCGGGGACGGACUUUAGUGGGGGGUUUAGAGGCCGGAGCUGCCGCGGGCUUCCGAUGCGAGGCUGAUGCUACUACGCAAGGGAGGGCCGACGCGGGUCCGCCACUGGUUUUCGGGGCCUGCGGCCGGAGCCGUAGAUCCCCAACGCCGGGC
rnacentral:misc_RNA from 1 species